ensembl:lncRNA
CCUGGAUAACACUCGCCAGUCCAGCUUCCCUGCCCCAUCCACCGCUGCCCCCUGGACACUGAUCUCUUGGCUACAUAGCUGAUGCACUCUGGACUGUCCAUUAAUCACGGUUUCUGUCUGUAAUGCCAAGGACCUGAAGUUGACUGUGUGGCGGAUGCUCUUACAUUGCAUUCUGUCAAACCGCCUUGCCAUUGUCACAACCUUGACUGGGGCAGAGCAUAAGGCCUGUUUCAGGGACUUGUUUCUGAAGACCAUUCUUCACAAAGCCAUUCGGAAGAACCUGCAACCCAGGAUGCCAUGGAUAAGGGGGUCCAGAUUCAGGUCACCCUUUAGCUGAAAGGGGCCUCCGAUUGUGAAGGCGGGAGAAGGCGGCGGACAGGGGAGAGGGAUCGGCUGCAGUGAGGGUCAGCAUCAAGUCUCGGACCACCUAUCUCAAAACCAGCCUCUACCCCCAAGCCACAAGACUGAUCCAACAGCUGAACCCUGGGCUGACUCCUGCACCCUACCACACACUUACCAUUUAUUCAUAUUCUGUACACACUUAAAUUACUUUAGUCUACCGGACCAAUGUAAUAGUUAUGUCACCUAACUGCACUAUGUAGAUAUACUUUCAUUAUAGUUCUAUGCUGCUACUGCACUGUAG